CCAGGGCUGAUGGCGGCCGUGCAGCUGGUGGAGUCCGGAGGGGGACAACAGACACCCGGGGGGUCCCUCACCCUCCGCUGCAAGGCCUCCGGCUUCACCUUCAGCAGCUUCACCAUGCAGUGGGUGCGACAGGCCCCCGGGAAGGGGCUCGAGUGGGUCGCGGGUAUUUACAGUAGUGGUAGCGCCUACUACGCGCCGUCGGUCAAGGGGCGCUUCACCAUCUCCAGGGACAACUCCCAGAGCACGCUCACGCUGCAGAUGAACAGCCUCCGGGACGACGACACGGCCACCUACUACUGCGCGAAAAGUACUGGUGGUUGUGGUUAUUAUGGUGGUGGCACCAACCCCUUCUCCAUGGAACAACAUCCCUGUGCUGUGUCCCCAGAUCGACCCUUCUUGGCCCAAAUCUGAAGCAUUUGCCACAAACCUCGACCACUUUUGCCCCAAGUCUCAACCGUUUGCAGCAAACCCUGACCGAUUUCUCACCAGACCUCCAUGGUUUGACCCAACUCUUGACCAUUUGCCCCAAACCUUGACCAUUGGCACCAAACCUCAACCAUUUGUGCCCCAAACCUCCACCCUUCUUGACCCAAUCUUUGAAUGCUCUCAACCAAUAUCUCGACCACUUUUGCUCCAAACCCUGACUAUUUCUCCCAAACCUGACCAUUUGUGCCCUAAACCUCGAGGGCUUUUGUCCCAAAUAUCAUCCGCUUGCCCCUAAUCUCAACCAUUUACCCCAGAUCCAAAACAUCUGCCCCAACACUCAAAUGGUUUUGCCCCAAGUCUUGACUGGCUUUGCCCCAACUCUCAACUGUUUGCCCCAAAUUCAACCAAUGUUGGCCCAAAUCUUCACUGUUUACAGCAAACACUUGACUGGUUUUGGGGCAAACCUGAACCACUUGCCCCAGAACAUGAACGGUUACCCCACGUCUUGACCGGUUUUGCCCCAAAUCUCAAUCGUUUGCAUCAAACCCUGAGCAUUUUUGCCCCAGACUUCCAUGGUUUGCAACAACUCUUGACCAUUUCCCCAAAACCUUGACCAUUUCCCCCAAACCUUGACCAUUUUUGACCCAAAUCUCAAACGACUGGCACUAAACCUCAAGCGUUUUUUCCCCAAACCUCCAACAUUUUUGCCCCAAAAGUUCAUUGGUUUUGGCCAAUAUCUCGACGGCUUUUUCCCCAAACCUUGACCAUUUUUGCCCUAAACCUCAACAGCUUUUGCCCCAAAUCUCAACCCUUUGACCC